rnacentral:rRNA from 1 species
CCUACGGGGGGCAGCAGUGGGGAAUAUUGGGCAAUGGGCGCAAGCCUGACCCAGCAACGCCGCGUGAAGGAAGAAGGCUUUCGGGUUGUAAACUUCUUUUGUCAGGGAAGAGUAGAAGACGGUACCUGACGAAUAAGCCACGGCUAACUACGUGCAAGCAGCCGCGGUAAUAUGUAGGUGGCAAGCGUUGUCCGGAUUUACUGGGUGUAAAGGGCGUGUAGCCGGGUUGACAAGUCAGAUGUGAAAUCCUGCGGCUUAACCGCAGAACUGCAUUUGAAACUGUUGAUCUUGAGUACUGGAGAGGCAGAUGGAAUUCCUAGUGUAGCGGUGAAAUGCGGAGAUAUUAGGAAGAACACCAGUGGCGAAGGCGGUCUGCUGGACAGCAACUGACGGUGAGGCGCGAAAGCGUGGGGAGCAAACAGGAUUAGAUACCCUUGUAGUC